rnacentral:rRNA from 1 species
UACGAGGGGGGCAAGCGUUGUUCGGAAUUACUGGGCGUAAAGGGCUCGUAGGUGGCCAACUAAGUCGGACGUGAAAUCCCUCAGCUUAACUGGGGAACUGCGUCUGAUACUGGAUGGCUUGGAUUCGGGAGAGGGAUGCGGAAUUCCAGGUGUAGCGGUGAAAUGCGUAGAUAUCUGGAGGAACACCGGUGGCGAAGGCGGCAUCCUGGACCGAUAUUGACGCUGAGGAGCGAAAGCCAGGGGAGCAAACGGG